GAUAAACGCUAGCGGCAGGCCUAACACAUGCAAGUCGAGGGGCAUCACGGGAGUAGUAAUACUUUUGGUGGCGACCGGCGGACGGGUGCGUAACGCGUAUACAACUUACCUUCAACAGGGGGAUAACUCUGGGAAACCGGAACUAAUACCCCGUAACAUUGAGAGCGGCAUCGCUUUUAGUUGAAAGAUUUAUCGGUUGGAGAUGGGUAUGCGUUGUAUUAGUUAGUUGGCGAGGUAACGGCUCACCAAGACUACGAUACAUAGGGGGACUGAGAGGUUAACCCCCCACACUGGUACUGAGACACGGACCAGACUCCUACGGGAGGCAGCAGUGAGGAAUAUUGGUCAAUGGGCGGAAGCCUGAACCAGCCAUGCCGCGUGCAGGAUGAAGGCGCUAUGCGUUGUAAACUGCUUUUGUACAGGGGUAAUAAC
rnacentral:rRNA from 1 species